ensembl:snRNA U6 U6 spliceosomal RNA
GUGCUCACUUCAGCAGCAUAUAUGUACUAAAUUAGGCACAAUACAGCGAAGGUUAGCAUGGCCCCUGCACAAGGAUGACAGGCAAAUGCGUAAAGCAUUCCACAUUUUC